GUCCAGACUCCUACGGGAGGCAGCAGUGAGGAAUAUUGGUCAAUGGCCGGAAGGCUGAACCAGCCAAGUCGCGUGAGGGACGACUGCCCUAUGGGUUGUAAACCUCUUUUAUGAGGGAAGAAUAAAUGCUACGUGUAGCAUGAUGCCUGUACCUUAUGAAUAAGCAUCGGCUAACUCCGUGCCAGCAGCCGCGGUAAUACGGGGGAUGCGAGCGUUAUCCGGAUUUACUGGGUUUAAAGGGUGCGUAGGCGGCGCUUCAGGUCAGCGGUGAAAUACCGGGGCUCAACCCCGGGGCUGCCGUUGAAACCGGAGCGCUAGAAUUCCGAUGCCGUCGGAGGAAUGUGUGGUGUAGCGGUGAAAUGCAUAGAUAUUACACAGAACACCGAUUGCGAAGGCAGCUUGCUAGGCCGGAUCUGACACUGAUGCACGAAAGCGUGGGGAUCGAACAGGAUUAGAUACCCCCGUACG
rnacentral:rRNA from 1 species